rnacentral:ncRNA from 1 species
UUAGAUAAGGACACUCGAGGUGCCGCCCGAAAAGGCGGAGAAUUGGGAAGCCGGUUGAAAUCCGGCGCUGCCCCCGCAACGGUGUUGGAGAAAACGCGGCAGGACGCCACUGGACAAGAUGUCCGGGAAGGCGCCGCGAUGGUUCGCAAGGACGCUCCUCAGCCCGGAAACCAGCCUUGGGCAACGAUCGUGAC